AUGAACGUAGCCAUCGAGGGCAGAGGAGAGGCGAAGGUCACCAUCGGGUUCGGUGGUGUCGCAGCCGAAAUCGCCGGAGAAGGUGGAGACAGCGGAGCUCAGAUCCGCUCCGUCUCCUCCCUCAUCAAGGUCGGCUGCCAGGAGCCUGUCAUGGUCCUCCUCGUCGACCGCGACAAGGGCCACAUCGAUCUCUCCUAGCGCCGUGUCUCCGAGGAGGACAUACAGGCAUGCGAAGAGCGCUACACCAAGAGCAAGCUCGUCCGCUCCAUCAUGCGCCACGUCUCCGACACAAUCGACAUCGACCUCGAGGAGCUGUACAUCCACAUCGGCUGGCCUGUCUGUCGCAAGUGCGGCCACGCUUUCGAGGCGUUCAAGAUAAUCGUGACGGAUCCAGACUGUUCUUGAUUCCCUGACUCGGCAAGUGAACGAAGUUGGGCCUGAUGGGCAGGAGGUGGCUAAGGUAGUGCCUGCAGUGACACCUGAAGUGAAGGAUGCAUUGGUCAAGAAUAUUAGGAGAAGGAUGACACCGCAGCCACUAAAGAUACGUGCCGACAUCGAGAUGAAGUGUUUCCAAUUCGAUGGAGUUCUUCACAUUAAGGAAGCCACGAGGAAAGCUGAAGCUGCAGGAAAUGAUGAUUGUCCUGUGAAAAUCAAGCUAGUUGCCCCUCCGCUCUAUGUCCUUACCACACAGACUCUUGAUAAGGAACAAGGUAUAUCAGUGCUCAACAAUGCAAUUAAGGCUUGCACAGAAGAGAUAGAACGGUACAAGGGGAAACUAACGCUCAAGGAGGCACCAAUAGCUGUGAGUGAACGCAGAUGGCACGCUAUUCGCUGAGCACAUGGCAGAACUACAUUCUGCUAACGAGGAGGUUGAUGGUGAUGAAGGUAGCGAAGAGGAGGAAGAUACAGGAAUGGGAGAAAUGGACGUGGAGAACUCCGGUGUUGGCAUGGCGGAUUGAAGACAUCAUUGAGCGGAUUAAGUUGGAUGGUUUUGUAUCCGAGUGUACUAAUAUAGAUAACUGUAUACUAUGUUAAGCUAUGUCUAAUUAUUGGAACAGCAAGCGACAUCAUCUUCUUUUCUUCA